GUGAUUAAAUCGAGCGUGUCUUCAUUGACCGCUCACCCUUCUCACCAUCCGCAUAUACCUGUGCACUGUUUAGCCUGAGCCGGUUUUCCGGUCCAGGUUAUCAUUUCAUACAAACUCUAGUCUUAUGAAUGUAAACGUUUUAAUAACAUAAUA
rnacentral:misc_RNA from 1 species